GGAAGGAUGGCAGAGUGGUCUAAUGCUCCGUCUUCGAAAGGCGGCGAUCCUUUAGGGGUCCGAGGGUUCGAAUCCUUCUCCUUCCGCCA
rnacentral:tRNA from 1 species